rnacentral:lncRNA from 1 species
CCAUAUGUGGGAAUCGUUACAUUAACCAUGUUGUACCACAUUCCAAAAGCCAUCGUAAAACAAGGUAUUUUCCAGGCAGUGGUCUACUGAAACCCAGCAAAGACAGCAACCAGACAGGAUGGGAUUUUUUGGGUAGUUUCCUCUGCCAAAACGAUAGAGCCAGCCAUCCAAAAAGAAGAAGAGUAACUUGCUGGAAAUAAAGGGGCAACACAAGAAUCUAUUCAUGGGAAAAAUGAAGGCAGAUCUUGAAAGGAAAUUUUCAACAUCAAAUUGAAGAAUUCAGCCACAAGAAUGCAGGGGAAGAAGGCAGCCAUUUGUGUUGAUAAAAUUGAAAAUAUUUGAUAGCAUCUCCAAGCAUAAAUUCAAGGAAAAGAGAAGCCAUUAUUUCUCUCCAAAUUUGAAUUAAAAAAACCUCUCUUGCAACUACUGACUCUCAAUGAUAAUGGUUUACCUGCCAUUUUACUUCUUUCAAAUAUUUGGUUACAAGAAAAGAUGGGAGCUCCAGUACAAAUGAAAAGCAACUGAAAAAUGAAAAGAUGAGUAUAGCUUGUUCCAAUUGAUGUUGCAAGCUCCGGUGACCACUUUGGAGGUAACCACCGGCAUCACCAAGGACGAGAAUGUCCAGCUUCAGCUUUUGCCUACAGUCUCAACUAUUAUUGAAACCUCCAUGACCUCUGACAACCACCAUUAUUUAAGUAGCUGCCACUCGCAACCCACCGGAAAAUCUUCAUAGCAAAGUCCUUGGCUAGAGCUCCGGUCUAGUUGUGUGCACAUUAAUGGUGAUGGAUGUGCACAUUAAUGGUGAUGGAGACAAGUCUUGAUGAUGAUUACUUUGCAAAUGGUUCACGCCAACUACUUUGUGGGAAAGAGAAACUGACUUUUCGGCCAAAUUGGUACUUGUCAAUUAAUAGGUUGUGGAAGACAUAUAAUGAUUAAAUAUUGGUUAGUUAUUGGGCCUCUUGGAAGAAUUAAUUGCUAGAUGAUGGGCUUAGUUGAUUGGGCAAAUGUUUUUGUAAAAUUGGGCCCACGUUAAUCUUUUGAUUUAAAGUGACCAAAACCUUAUCCUUUUACAUGGACAUUUUUAGCAGACUUGGCCCAACGACUUUAUGGUCUUCAGAGAUUUAAUGGGCUUAAAUUUUUGAACUUGAUUGGACCAGCAAAUUUUUUUUAUUGGACCUCAUAGCCUCCUUUUGUCUUAAAUGAUUAGGCUCAACUGCAUACGCCAAGUUCUUGGUUAUUUUUCUUGGGCUGGUAUAAUAUAUAUUCU